UACAGAGGUCCCAAGCGUUGUUCGGAUUCACUGGGCGUAAAGGGUGCGUAGGUGGUGGGGUAAGUCUGAUGUGAAAGCUCCGAGCUCAACUCGGAAACGGCAUUAGAAACUACCUUGCUAGAGGGUUGGAGGGGGGACUGGAAUUCUCGGUGUAGCAGUGAAAUGCGUAGAUAUCGAGAGGAACACCAGUGGCGAAGGCGAGUCCCUGGACAACUCCUGACACUGAGGCACGAAAGCUAGGGGAGCAAACAGG
rnacentral:rRNA from 1 species